CCGCAGCUAACGCAUUAANCACUCCGCCUGGGGAGUACGACCGCAAGGUUGAAACUCAAAGGAAUUGACGGGGGCCCGCNCANNCGGNGGAGNNNGUGNUUUUAAUUNGAAGCAACGNGAAGANCCUUNCCANGNUCUNGACAUCCCUNUGACCGCUCUAGAGAUAGAGUUUUCNUUCGGGACAGAGGUGACAGGUGGUGCAUGGUUGUCGUCAGNUNGUGUCGUGAGAUGUUGGGUUAAGUCCCGCAACGAGCGCAACCCCUAUUGNUUAGUUGCCAUCAUUCAGUUGGGCACUCUAGCGAGACUGCCGGUAAUAAACCGGAGGAAGGNGGGGAUGACGUCAAAUCAUCAUGCCCCUUAUGACCUGGGCUACACACGUGNUACAAUGGCUGGUACAACGAGUCGCAAGCCGGUGACGGCAAGCUAAUNUCUGAAAGCCAGUCUCAGUUCGGAUUGUAGGCUGCAACUCGCCUACAUGAAGUNGGAAUCGCUAGUAAUCGCGGAUCAGCACGCCGCGGUGAAUACGUUCCCGGGCCUUGUACACACCNCCC
rnacentral:rRNA from 1 species